AGGGGGGGCAAGCGUUGUUCGGAAUUACUGGGCGUAAAGGGUUUGUAGGUGGCUUGCUAAGUCAGACGUGAAAUCCCUCAGCUUAACUGGGGAACUGCGUCUGAUACUGGUGAGCUUGAGUGCAGGAGAGGAACGCGGAAUUCCAGGUGUAGCGGUGAAAUGCGUAGAUAUCUGGAGGAACACCGGUGGCGAAGGCGGCGUUCUGGACUGCAACUGACACUGAGAAACGAAAGCCAGGGGAGCAAACGGGAUUAGAUACCCCGGUAGUCCUGGCCCUAAACGAUGAAUGCUUGGUGUGGCGGGUAUCGAUCCCUGCCGUGCCGCAGUUAACGCGAUAAGCAUUCCGCCUGGGGAGUACGGUCGCAAGGCUG
rnacentral:rRNA from 1 species